UUGACCUCAAAUCAGGUAGGACUACCCGCUGAACUUAAGCAUAUCAAUAAGCGGAGGAAAAGAAACUAACAAGGAUUCCCCUAGUAACUGCGAGUGAAGCGGGAAGAGCUCAAAUUUGAAAUCUGGCGGUUCCUUUGGACCGUCCGAGUUGUAAUCUAGAGAAGUGUUACCUGUGCUGGACCGUGUACAAGUCUCCUGGAAUGGAGCAUCACAGAGGGUGAGAAUCCCGUCUUUGACACGGACUGCCUGUGCGAUAUGGUGCGCUCUCGAAGAGUCGAGUUGUUUGGGAUUGCAGCUCAAAAUGGGUGGUAAAUGCCAUCUAAAGCUAAAUAUUGGCGAGAGACCGAUAGCGAACAAGUACCGUGAGGGAAAGAUGAAAAGAACUUUGGAAAGAGAGUUAAACAGUACGUGAAAUUGCUGAAAGGGAAACGCUUGAAGUCAGUCGCGUCGGCUGGAAAUCAGUCUUGCUUCUGCUUGAUGUACUUUCUGGUCUGACGGGUCAGCAUCAGUUUUGACCGCCGGAUAAAGUCAUUGGGAAUGUGGCAUCUCAGGAUGUGUUAUAGCCCGUUGUCGCAUACGGUGGUCGGGAUUGAGGAGCUCAGCACGCCGCGAGGCCGGGUCUUUCUUGGACCACGUCCGUGCUUAGGAUGCUGGCAUAAUGGCUUUAAUCGACCCGUC
rnacentral:rRNA from 1 species